rnacentral:sRNA from 1 species
UGCAAUAUGAUGUGCGCGCUAGCCCGUAUC